rnacentral:rRNA from 1 species
CCUACGGGGGACAGCAGUGAGGAAUAUUGGUCAAUGGGCGAGAUCCUGAACCAGCCAAGCCGCGUGAGGGAAGACGGCCCUAUGGGUUGUAAACCUCUUUUGUCGGAGAACAAAACCCGGGACGUGUCCCGGACUGCGUGUAUCCUACGAAAAAGCAUCGGCUAACUCCGUGCCAGCAGCCGCGGUAAUACGGAGGAUGCGAGCGUUAUCCGGAUUUAUUGGGGUUAACGGGUGCGUAGGCGGUCCGUUAAGUCAGCGGUAAAAUUGCGGGGCUAAACCCCGUCGAGCCGUUGAAACUGGUAGACUUGAGUGGGGGAGAGGUACGCGGAAUGCGAGGUGUAGCGGUGAAAUGCAUAGAUAUCGCGCAGAACACCGAUUGCGAAGGCAGCGUACCGGCGCCAGACCGACGCUGAGGCACGAAAGCGUGGGGAUCGAACAGGAUUAGAUACCCCUGUAGUC